ensembl:lncRNA
CGGGCGGGAGUGGCGAGGUCGCCGCCCUGGCUUUCCGCCCCAGCCUCCGCGGGAGAGCGUCCCCGAGCCCCCAGCAACCGCGGGCGGCGUCCUGCACGCCUGUCUCCGAGGAGGAGGGGACGGGAAAGGGACGGGGCACGACCCGGGCUGGGAAGGAGGCGCCGCGGGUGCAGGACGGGGUCGGAGCUGAGAUUUUUAGAAGCCCAGAUCUCGGGGUUCCGAAGCGCACUCCCCCCAGGUGGCGAUCUUCCUGCGAGGCCACGACCAGGAACGGUUCACAGUCUGUGUCCCCGAAGACACCGGAUCCCCCGCUCCACGAGAGCAGAGGACGCUGCGUUUCUUCACGCGGCCCAGCACGGCGCCCCCACCCGGAGCGCGGAGGGUGAAGGACGGAUCCUGCCAAGGCCGCGAGUCGCCCCCGGGUCUCCAGACUGGGAUCCCUCUGGUCCCGCUCUACCCACCCCGCCGGAGUCCGCAGCGAGUCUCCGAGCCCCUGCCUGAGGGCAGGUCCUUGCGCCGAAGCGUCGGGUCACCCCAUUCCCUGAGGGGACAAAGCCUGUGUGACUGGGGAGACGUGCAGAGCCCUUUCCACGAGAGCGCAGUUUUAUAGACCUCCAAAAAACCAACC